CGAGGGGAAGCUGGUCACGGAUGAAGUAGGAGGAGGGAAGGGAUGGAGACUACAUGUCCCGACAUGCUUCUCGCUGAGGAUGGAGAACCAAUCCCAGCAUGCAGCGGGGCUGAGCGUUUUUGCUCUCCCUGCUGGAGGGGGACCGAGCAAAUAAGUCCCUAGAAACCGCAGGAUCUAACUCCUAGACCUACAAGCAUCUACUGAGCGCGGUCACACGCCGUGCCCGGUGCUGAAAGGCAAAAACGGAGCACUUUUUCUCCCUCAGGGGGCUUGAAUUAUAAUGAAAAAGAGAGCGUGAAGGGGGAAGCCCCACCCGUAGGCUCCCCUUAGGGAAUGUAAGCGAAGUAAAACAAGACAAAGUUUAUUUAAAAAAAAAUUAAAGCCCUUCCACGUUCAGUCGUUGCAAAAAGACCCUCACCCUAUCUUUGACCCGGACAAUUUGGAAGUAAACAAGCCCUCGCUAAGACCUACUUAAUCUGCCCCGCGCUGGGCAAAGCACCGCCCUGGAAUAUGGCUGCUGCCCUACCACGCUCCUGGUACAGCUGAGCAAAGCGGCGAAGCCUUCCGAGAGUCCCGCUGGGGUGCAUUUGAACUCCGAUCUUCCUGUCUCUAGCCUGCCACCCAGCGGCAGGCGAUUUCUGGGGCGGAGCUGGCGCAGAAGAGGCGGGCGGAGCCGGGCUUAGCGGCUCGGAGAUAACGGACGUGCGGCGGAGGAGGGCAGGAAAAAAGAGGGCUCGGGACGCUUCGCUUGGGCAUUGGCAAGAAAUGAGCGGAGGGUACUUAAAAGCGUCCGUUAGCCGGGUAGGUGCAGAGAUGAGUGCCAGGCGUGCCAAGGAGGGGACGAGGUUUCACCGUCAUGCUGCAGAGAAUCAGGAAUGAGGCGCAGAAGUUUGGCAAUUUGGAAACAGCCGUUUGGGCGAUUAAGGUAGCAGCCAUAGGAAUCUUGUUUUCCUUCAAAAUCUAACUCAAGGGUUACCUCUUCCAUGAAGUCUUCCUGAGCAAGAGCAAGAGCAUUUCAGAUGUGGCAGAGAGUCAGUGCUAGCGCAUGGAGACAAGAGGGAGAAUGUUGUGUGGAAGCAACUCCAAAGAGUCAAAGGAAGCUGGAUUGGAGAAUGCAGAAGAGUAAAAUGUAUCAGGAGACCGGUUUUGUAUCUUUAGGAAAAUCACUUUGGCAGCUAUGAGCAGAAUGGAUCUAAAGAGAGAUUUGAGGCAAGAAGACUAAUAAGGCUAUCAAAACAGUCAAGGCAAAAAAAGAAAAAAAAAUUAGAGGAAGUAAAAGGUGAUAAGGGAUUGAACAAAGGUGGUAGCUCUGAAUGGAGAGAAGAGGCAUUUCUGAGAGAGAUGAAGAAGUGGAACAAAAAGAGGAUCCAAAAAGCCUUUUGUACCUAAGGCUGUUCAGCCCUUUUCCAUGCCCUAAAAAAAGAAGGCAGCAGGAAUCAACUGCAAAGGAUUAAAUCAUUUGAACCCUAAAAACCCCUUGAAGAACACGAAGGAGGGCAGGGAAGGGGUGGCUAGUUGCCAGCAUGUGGAUAAACCCAGGACCUUAAGAUGGGGAGUUAGGUACCAUGUAAUCACUUCACUGUGUGGAUGACAAAGGGAAAUGACUUGCUCAAAAAAAAAAAAAAAAACAAACCUACUA